UCUCGGCAACGGAUAUCUCGGCUCUCGCAUCGAUGAAGAACGUAGCGAAAUGCGAUACUUGGUGUGAAUUGCAGAAUCCCGUGAAUCAUCGAGUCUUUGAACGCAAGUUGCGCCCGAAGCCAUUAGGCCGAGGGCACGYCUGCCUGGGCGUCACGCAUCGCGUCGCCC
rnacentral:rRNA from 1 species